UACAGAGACUGCAAGCGUUAUUCGGAUUCACUGGGCUUAAAGGGUGCGUAGGCUGCGCGGAAAGUUGGGUGUGAAAUCCCUCGGCUCAACCGAGGAACUGCGCCCAAAACUGCCGUGCUCGAGGGAGACAGAGGUGAGCGGAACUUAGGGUGGAGCGGUGAAAUGCGUUGAUAUCCUAAGGAACACCGGUGGCGAAAGCGGCUCACUGGGUCUCUUCUGACGCUGAGGCACGAAAGCUAGGGUAGCGAACGGG
rnacentral:rRNA from 1 species